CACGGAGUUAGCCGGUGCUUAUUCAUCGGGUACCGUCAACGGCGUUAGAAAACACCGGUUUCUUCCCCAAUAAAAGAACUUUACAUUACGAAUAACUUCUUCGUUCACGCGGCGUUGCUCGGUCAGGGUUCCCCCCAUUGCCGAAAAUUCCCUACUGCUGCCUCCCGUAGGAGUAUGGACCGUUCUCAGUUCCAUUGUGGCCGUUCAACCUCUCAGUCCGGCUACGCAUCAUCGCCUUGGUAGGCCCUUACCCACAACUAGCUAAUGCGCCACAGGCCCCUCCUUAAGCAGAUCUCUCUUUUAAAUAUAAAAGAUUCUUCCUCUAUAUCCUAUCCAGUUUUAUCCAUCGUUUCCAAUGGCUAUCCUCGUCUUAAGGGUAGGUUACCUAUGUAUUACUCACCCGUUCGCCACUAAAGUACCCGAAGGUACUUCCGUUCGACUUGCAUGUAUUAGGCACGCCGCCAGCGUUAAUCCUGAGCCAGGAUCAAACUCU
rnacentral:rRNA from 1 species